CCCAUCUGGGGGAUGUGACCUACCCAGUCCAGCUCCAAACUGCCACUGUUUUCAGCUCCAAGGCUUCAAGCCUGGUCAAUGUCUCAGUGAUAGUUACUUUGGCUGACUUCACACCAAUCAGGCAGCAGGGCUGGAGAGAAAAAAAAUCCUUUGUAUCUAGAAAAAAAAAGUUAUUCCUAAGGUACUUCCUUGAGCUCAACAUCUUCUAAAUUAUAAUGGAACAGCUCUGGUCUAUCUAAAAAUCCAGUACACAUACAAAAUGGAUGAAUAAAACUAGUUGUUUACUCUCAGCCUGUCUUGCUGGGCUCCUUUUUUGCAUUAUGAGGGUGAAAACAUCUAAAAGCCUUGAAACAGACCAGAGGAUAACGCAACAAUCACUCUUCCUGUCCUUUGAAGCCUCAGUUUCGACUCUUAUAACUUCUGAGUAACUUCAGAAAGGAAAAGCAUCUCCACAGGCAACAUCUCUGAAGUAAGGAGGCAGCCAAACGAGAAGAGAAGGAGCUUCCCUCUUCUUUUCCACUAAAAUGCUGCUGCCACUUGCAUUCUCCUUCACCAAAAAAUUAUGUGCCUGUGUGGUAUAAACCCAAAUUACACAAAGCAGACCACAAUACCAUAGAACCACAGAAUGGUUUGGGUUGUCAAUAUAUGACUGACAUCUUCAAAGACUGCAAAACAGUAAAGAAUGGAUUUUUUUAAAAUCAGCCCUCUUUAUCAGGCAUUGGACAUGCCAUCUAACAAGGUUUUCCAGCCACUCAUGAGACGGGAAAGUAGCAACAAGGAUAACAAGUCUCCUUGGAGAUACUUCAUAUGCUGAAGGGCUUUGUGAAGUAAAAGAUGUAUAACUAUAUAAAAUAGAGUUGUACAUAAUAUUAAAAAAGAAAAAAAAGAAAGAAAUUAUUCAGAAAAAGAUCUUCCAAUUUAGAGUACAGAACAGACUCAUAAUUAAACAUC